rnacentral:rRNA from 1 species
UACGUAGGGUCCGAGCGUUGUCCGGAAUUAUUGGGCGUAAAGAGCUCGUAGGCGGUUUGUCGCGUCGGCUGUGAAAACUCGGGGCUCAACCCCGAGCCUGCAGUCGAUACGGGCAAACUAGAGUGUGGUAGGGGAGACUGGAAUUCCUGGUGUAGCGGUGAAAUGCGUAGAUAUCGGAAGGAACGCCGGUGGCGAAAGCGACGUGCUGGACCUCUUCUGACGCUGAGGCGCGAAAGCCAGGGGAGCAAACGGG